AGCCAAAAGCAGCUGCCUCUGAAGGAGAUUGAGGAGUCAAGCCACACAAACUCAAAACUGUAAACACCAUUGGGAGCCUUAGACAGUCUAGCUCAGUUGGAGUUGGAUUUGACUAUAUGUAACAGAAACCCAACUACAGUGUACUAACAGACUUCUUAUCCAGAGGCAGGCGGUCCAAGGCUGAUGCCCAAAGAAGCCAUCAAGACCCGUGCUACUUCCAGCUCCUUCUGUCCUCAUAAUCAUAGAUGAUUGCUCCACAUCCAGGUAUUAAGCUCUUAUUCCAAGCAGGAAGGGGAAGGACAAAGGGCAAAAGGCAUUUGCCAAGUCUCUCCCUUUUUAUGAGGAAAAACAAUCAUUUUCUGAUAAGCCCCAUUCAUUAGACUAAAAUCUACAACCCAUUGGCCAAGAUUGGGGUGGAAUGCAAUUGUAUGAACACAAGGCUCACUACUACAACCUCUACCUCCUGGGCUCAAGCGAUCCUCUCACCACAGCCUCCCGAGUAGCUAGGACGGCAGCACCUAACACCAGUACUCAGUUAAAUUUUUUGCUGAAUAAAUCAAUGAAUGGAGAGGUAAAGAGGAACCAGAAGUUGGGGUUACGGAAGUCACUGAUGGAAGAGUUUCAAGAUAGUAGAAGUGGUCAGCCCUGUUAAGUGACAAGCCAAGGACUGAAGAAAGGCUGGCAGAUUUGGCAAUCAGAUGAAGUGACCUGACCAAAGAGCAGCUUGUGUGAAGUAGUGAGGACAGGCGCUGGUCUGC
rnacentral:lncRNA from 1 species